rnacentral:rRNA from 1 species
CAGGCCUAACACAUGCAAGUCGAGCGGUAGAGAGGAGCUUGCUCCUCUUGAGAGCGGCGGACGGGUGAGUAAUGCCUGGGAAACUGCCUGAUGGAGGGGGAUAACUACUGGAAACGGUAGCUAAUACCGCAUAACGUCUUCGGACCAAAGUGGGGGACCUUCGGGCCUCACGCCAUCAGAUGUGCCCAGAUGGGAUUAGCUAGUAGGUGGGGUAAUGGCUCACCUAGGCGACGAUCCCUAGCUGGUCUGAGAGGAUGACCAGCCACACUGGAACUGAGACACGGUCCGGACUCCUACGGGAGGCAGCAGUAGGGAAUCUUCCACAAUGGACGCAAGUCUGAUGGAGCAACGCCGCGUGAGUGAAGAAGGCUUUCGGGUCGUAAAACUCUGUUAUUGAAGAAGAACGUGUGUGACAGUAACUGGUCAUGCAGUGACGGUAUUCAAUCAGAAAGUCACGUCUAACUACGUGCCAGCAGCCGCGGUAAU